UAAAUAAAUAGCCUUAG
rnacentral:tRNA from 1 species